AGUGAACGCUGGCGGUAGGCCUAACACAUGCAAGUCGAACGGCAGCACAGGAGAGCUUGCUCUCUGGGUGGCGAGUGGCGGACGGGUGAGGAAUACAUCGGAAUCUACUCUGUCGUGGGGGAUAACGUAGGGAAACUUACGCUAAUACCGCAUACGACCUACGGGUGAAAGCAGGGGACCUUCGGGCCUUGCGCGAUUGAAUGAGCCGAUGUCGGAUUAGCUAGUCGGCGGGGUAAGGGCCCACCAAGGCGACGAUCCGUAGCUGGUCUGAGAGGAUGAUCAGCCACACUGGAACUGAGACACGGUCCAGACUCCUACGGGAGGCAGCAGUGGGGAAUAUUGGACAAUGUGCGCAAGCCUGAUCCAGCCAUACCGCGUGGGUGAAGAAGGCCUUCGGGUUGUAAAGCCCUUUUGUUGGGAAAGAAAUCCAGCUGGCUAAUACCCGGUUGGGAUGACGGUACCCAAAGAAUAAGCACCGGCUAACUUCGUGCCAGCCGCCGCAGUAA
rnacentral:rRNA from 1 species